rnacentral:rRNA from 1 species
GACGAACGCUGGCGGCGUGCUUAACACAUGCAAGUCGAACGAUGAAGAAAAGAAUUGAAGCUUCGGCAGAAAUUCAUUUCGGAUUAGUGGCAGACGGGUGAGUAACGCGUGAGCAACCUACCUCUUACAAAGGGAUAGCCUCGGGAAACUGGGAUUAAUACCAUAUAACAUUGCGACGAAGCAUUUCGAUGCAAUCAAAGCUACGGCGGUAAGAGAUGGGCUCGCGUCCCAUUAACCAGAUGGUGAGGUAACGGCUCACCAUAGUAACGAUGGGUAACCGGCCUGAGAGGGUGAACGGUCACACUGGAACUGAGACACGGUCCAGACUCCUACGGGAGGCAGCAGUGGGGAAUAUUGCACAAUGGAGGGAACUCUGAUGCAGCGACGCCGCGUGAGUGAUGAAGGAAUUCGUUUCGUAAAACUCUGUUCUAUGGGAAGAAAAGGACUGUACCAUAGGAGAAAGCUCCGGCUAAAUACGUG